rnacentral:lncRNA from 1 species
CCGUGAAUCUGCCGGGAUUUGACCAAUGGGAGAAGUUAGCCGGCUCUCCGCCAAUCAGAAUCUAGACUUUCCCUGUACCAACACUCGCAACCUUUCUCUACUUCAAAACUUUUUCAGUUCUACAUUUAUCGUUUCUGUACCUUCUAAGCUUAUAGACGCUAUACUUUUUUGAAACCAUGGCUGAUACCGUCGAAACCACCACCCCCGUCGUUGAGGAGACUCCCGUUGCUACCACCGAGGUAACCUCUGAGG